rnacentral:lncRNA from 1 species
GUGAACAGUACACACAGCAUUUCUGAUGUAAUCCCUACUUAUAUAAACCAGGAUGUUCCUGAGAGAUUUAAGCCACAGUUGACUUUCUUCUCUCCUGUCAAUGUCCUGAGCGUCCUUGGCCUACUCUGGACAUACAAUUUCUUAAGCGAGGUGAAAACUGAGCAGGACCUGGAAGGAUGGAUGGGUUUCAAGAGGAAGAGACAGAAGAAAAGAAAGGAAGGAGGAAAAGCUGUCCAGCAGAGUGAAGUCCCAGGAAGACGAUUCAAGGUGCACUACUGAACUGGCUUUUUGUCGGAAGAUAACUCCCUCACUCUGAUAAGAACUCCUGCUCCAUCUUUCGGCUGCAAAUGGGGCUGGAUGGUCAGUGACCCAGGGUGGAUUAUCCAACUGCGGCUCACGCAGCACCUCCAUUGCUCUGGGUUCUAAGCAGCUGGGUCCGCCGCUGCCCCGGCACCUCUGUCACGGUGUGCCAGGGGAAUGGAAGCAGAUGGGCGUACAACCCAGCGUUAGUGAAAGUUUUGGUGGGGGAGAAAGUUAAAGCCACUGGCUGAUACUGAGAGUGGGCGAUUUAUUUCAUCAAGCCUUUAUCAAAGACAAUGAGGGAGGUCACUGCUUCUUGUCAACCCACUUGGAAGUUUCUUCUUGACUUUAUUUCUAAAAUAUAUCUUGCCUCGGCCUCUUCUCUCUGCUCCCAUUGUCAAUGGCACUGGUCUAGACCAAGGCUCAUCUUAACUUCUGUGAUCACAUCCUAACAGGUCUCCAGGCAGAUUUGUCUCCUAAUCUCUUGUCCAUUCAGCAGCCAGUGUUUUAAGACAUAAAUAAGAUCAUGCCACACCCAUGAUUAAAAGCUUCCAGUGCUUUCCAUCAUAUUUGGAAUAACAUCCUCUUCUAAAAUUAUUUAAACACAGCCUACAAUGAUCUGAUCCCAGUCUGCCUGGCCCACACCACCUCAUCUAACGGUGACCCCCGCUGACAUCUGCUACUCUGGCCUCCCUUCUUUCCUUAAACACGUGAAGCUCACUGCAGCCUCAGGGGCUUUGCACUUCCUUCUCUCUGCCCAAGAUGAUCCUCCCCAAGCUUUUGAGACAGCUGGCUUCUCAUUUCUCAAUCCUCAUCUCAAAAAGAGGUCUUUAGGCUAAUCUCUCUGAAGUAAAGCCUUCAUCUUACCACAAUCCCAUUAUCUUUGGGAUAGAUAACUAUCCAAAGUUCUCUUUUUUCCGUAAGUAUUGUCUGUCUUUCCUCACUAAAAGUUUUACAAAAGCAUUACUGCCUCCCUAGCACCAGCAACAGUACAAGAUAGAUGCUCAAUGGAUAUCUGAUAAACAGAUGGAUGAGGGGUUCUAUCAGUGAACCCUACUUCAGACCUCUAUGCCCUUCUCAAGACCUCAGUUUCCUCAACUGGGAAAUAAAGAUGGCUGAUUCUAAGAUUUCUAAAUUCUCUUCCAGAGCUAAUAUUCUGAAAUUCUAAACCAGAGGCUGGCAAACAUUUUCUGCAAAGAGCCAGUUAAUAGUUUAGGUUUUGUGGACUAAACAGUCUGUCAAAACUGCUCAUCUCUGCCACUGUAGGAAAAAGUAGCCAGAGGCAACACAUAAACAAGCAGAUGUGGCUAAGUUCCGGUAAAACUAAACUUACGAAAGCAGGUUGUGGGAUGUGUGUAGUCCGUGGUCUGUAAUUUACCAGCCCUUCUUCUGUACAACAGCAUUUCCUGCUACUCUCUCAGGAGGUGGCUGGUUUAUCUCCCAAGCCCUUUGUCCCACUGUCACUUCAGACCAUUAUCUCCAUCUCUCCCUUCAACUCCUUUCUGCCUUGAAGCCGCUGCCCUCAGGUUACAACCACUCACUACCGCUCAUUGUUGCCUUUCCUCUAUAGACCUUCAGCCACUCGUUUGCCUUCCCUGAAUGAGUUAGCACACAGCACAAGUUCUCCCCCUCCCACUAGCGCUAAUCCUGUCAAAAUUCUCAGUAUUUUCAAUUCUAUAAACUUAGUCCUUCCACCACCCUGGCCUCUCAUCCUCUGGACUUUCUCAUCUCCAAUGACCUUGCCCUUCACCCAACCUCGGCCACCAUCUCCCAUUGUUAUUACCAACAUCUGCACUUCACCCUCUUAAGUCUAUUCUCCACACAGCAGUCAGGAGGUACCUUUCAAACCACAAGUCAAGUCCCUCCUCCACUCAAAAUUCUCUAAUGCUUCCCAUCCCACUCAGGAUGAAAUUCCAAGUCCUUCUCUCCCGCCAUGCAACCUGAGACCUAGUGAACCCUGGACUCAUCGCCUGCACUGCUCACCCCACCCUCCCUUCCCUCAGCCUGUGCUGUCCCCCUGCCUGCUCCUCAGGCGAGCCUGGCACUUCCAUGCACCAGGACCUUUGUGCCGGCCAUUCCCUACGCCUGGAAGACUCUCCCUCAAGAUACCACUUAGCUUUCUUCCUUCAUGUCCACUUACAUAUCAUUAUAUCAAAGAGGCCUUCCCUGGCCACCCUAUCUAAAACAGAGCGAUCCCAACUCCAUCACCCUCUCUCUCCCUUAUCCUGCUUAUUUUUCUUCAUAGCACUUGAUACAACCUGACAUAUUUCUUUCUUUAUAUUUGGCUAUUUCUAGAAAUAUAAGUUCCAGCCGAGUAAGGACCUUGUCUUGUUCUGCUGUAUCCUCAGCACCAAGACCACAGUGCAUGGCACUUAGCAGGUGUUCAAUAAACAUUUUCUGAACGUGUCGACCCAAACCCUUCUCACAGCAGUUUACCUUCUUUCAGUGCUGCUGCCAGUAAUGAGGCUGCCUGGGGAGGCUCGCCUGGGUCAGGUUUAAUAAGGAGGUGGGGCUCUAGAUGGACGUCCUCAAAUCCGCUCAGUUCUCCAAGUUCAGCAUAGAUAUGCAGCUUCUCCUCCAAAUACGCACAAAUUUGUUGGUCUUGGUUAGUGAGUAUUUCUAUGAAAUAGUAUUUACCAUAGAAGAUUAUCACUAACAUGAAUACAACCACUAAUGUGAAAGUCCACGAAAAAGAUGUUGCUAAUUAGCAAGCAGUAAGACCUCCAAGAGAAAACCCAGGUUGAUGAGUGGGGCAGAUGCAGGUCUCAGUCCUGACCAUGCCACUUAGUGACUGUGGCCUCCAGCAAGUGACUUAACAACUUUCUCAGCUUCCAUUGUCUUUUCUGUAAAUAAGGUUCCUUUCUCAGUCCCCUACUUCCAGAAAAUUUGCAAAGCUAUUCUUUGUUUGUUCAGGCUGUUUUCUAUUAAGACUAAACAUUAAGCUUAGGAAUGAAAAUUGAGGCGGCCCUGUCCAUGAUGAGUGAACAAUACAAAUGCCUGGAACGGCACAGGCUAAACCAAACAUACUGGUUUAAGUUUUUGUUUCUAAACAUCCAAUUUCUUUGCCCAUCUUUGCAUGCAUCAUUGUCCUCAGAUUUCAACAUGUUACAGAAUUCUUAAAGCUCAAAGGGACCUUAACUAGCAUUGAAUCCAGGAAUUCUCAGUCCCCUCUGUGCUUCAAAGUCACCUUGGGAGAGCUGAAAACCCCAAAGUCUACAUCCCACCUGCCACAGAUUCGGAUUCAAUCGGUGGAGGGUGAGGCCCAGGCAUCCGUAUUUUUAAAGACCUCUCAACUGAUUCCAGUGUCCAACCAGAGUAGAGAAUCACUGAGCUAGUCUAAUCUCCUUCUUUCACACACUUGCAAACUGGGGACAAGAUCUGUUGGGUUCCUUGUCCAAAGUCAUUGACAUGACAGUGCUGAGACCUAAAAUUAAACCAUGAGACAAAUAAUUCCAACAUUCAUCUGCACCACACUGCCCACAGCUGUUGUUUCAUAUAUGUUAUGUGCAUUUUUUACAUCCAUUUUAAUCACUAAGGUGGAAGUGAAGAGAAUGUCAUCUUAUUUGAGCAUUUCUAGUGUAAGUUUCUCGGGAGGGUGGUCCAGGUGGGCCUCAGGUGCACAGGAUGAAUCAUGUAGUUAUAACCUCCUGUUCAUGACACUCAGGCUUUCCCAACACCCAGGAGAACACCACGACCAGGGAGCCAGAAGUGCCUGCACUGUACCUUGACAUUGCUGAAUUUUGGCCACUCUGGCUUCAGCUUUCCUCUUGUCUUCAUCAGAUUCACUUGUCCUUCCCCCUUUUUCUUCAGGACAACUUUAAAAGACAAUAGUCAAGAGACACAACUGAAACCAAAUGCAAGUAUCUGUAGAUUCAUUAGAAAAACAUGGGAACUUGGCAAUAGAUUUAUUCAUAAAGGAGAAAAUUUCAGCAUAAAGGGAAUGCAUCAUCCCCCCUGGCCAGAGACUUGGUUUUCUUGAGAAUACAAAGAAUCUUGCAUAACAUUACAUGGCUCUCAAAAUCGGUGGUGUGGGAUGACUCAAAUAUUCCAGUGAACACAAACAUACACUCACCACACACACCCAUAAUGGGAAUAAAGUAUAAGAAUUGUAAAGGAUAGAAGUGGGGUGCCAGGGCAGAUGGGGUGCAGUAGAGGUAGAGAAAUUUUAUAUAACUUCAGGAUCUAACUAAUCAAACUACUGUUGAGAAUGAUCACCCCCACCCUUGUGCUCCCAAUUAUAAAAACUGUCCUUGCACAAGUAAUGAGGAAUAAAUUGACUUAGAAUACUUAGAUCCACCAAUUCAGAAACAUUUAUUGAAUGAUUUCUCAGCACUAGGCACACAGAGAAACAUAAGACAUGAACCCUGCCCUCGAGGAGCUUCCAAUCUAAUUAAAUAAACACACACAUAUGUACAUAAAAAAGAUAAUAGCUACAAGGCAGUAUAUAAGAAGCAUCAAGUAAAUGCUUUAGUGAGCAGGUGUUAAAGAAUUUCAGGCAAGAAAGAGAUCACCAGGACUGAAGGGGUCCUCAUGGAGGAGGGGAGGCCCGAGCUGCAUCAACGCCCGGCAGGGUGCACACAGGCAGAGGGAGGUGCAGGCAUUACAUGCAGGGAGGCGUGGAGGAGAAAGCUGCAGAUGGGGGGCUAUCGCAGGCAGGUGCAGGGGGCAGGGGGCAGACCAUUCUGGCAGAGGCAAAGUUUUCAUGCAGGAAGACAUGGUUAGAAUAUUUUCCCCAGUUGAACAACUCUGUUCCAUAGAUUAUGGACGGAAGGAAAUGUUACCUUUCUACAGCCUGCUGGAUCCGUCUCAUCCAGUUAUUGCGUUCCUCCUUGGAAUUGGUGUGAAUUUCAUACAUCUCAGGACCAGCAGAUGAAGCACUGAUCAGAAACAUUCCUCUCUCCUCAUUAGCAACUUCUCUAGCAAUAAGCUUUUGAAGGGAAAUAACUGAUGGCUUCUGAUCCUACAUAAAAUAGGAAGGUGAGCAGAUGAAACAGCAUCCUAGCUAAAGUAAGGCUCCGUAAAACAUGAGCUAAAGGAAGCAAGAGUACUAGGUAAACCUUUCUCCACUUCCAAUCUUUUCAAAAGAGCUGUAGAAGUUGAUACAAUCUCCAAUGGAGACGGUAUGGAAAAGAGAGGAUGGAAAAAGAGGAAUUAUAGGCAUGCUCAUCCUUAAGAAUUGGUGGUUUAGGCCGGGCCCAACGGCUCCCUCCUGUAAUCCCAGCACUUUGGGAGGCCGAGGCAGGUGAAUCACUUGAGGUCAGCAGUUCAAGACCAGCCUGGCCAAUGUGGUGAAACCCCAUCUAUACUAAAAACACAAAAAUUAGCCAGAUGUGCUGGUGUGCGCCUGUAGUCUCAGCUGCUUGGGAGGCUGAGGCAUGAGAAUUGCUUGAACCUGGGAGGCAGAGGUUGCAGUGAGCGCACUCCAGCCUGGGCAACAGAGCAAGACUCCAUCUCAAAAAAAGAAAAAAAAAAGGAAUUGGUUGUUUAAAAACUGAACUUUUUAAAAGACAGAACAAUCAGAGAAGAAAAAUAUCAAAAUGCCAUAGUCAAGGCAGGAGAAGUUUUUCUAAGAGAGCAUGAGAUAGGAAACUAUGUCAAAUGUCAAAGAGACUGAGAAGGAGGGAGGCCCUAAAAAGUCCAUUAGACUUGCAAUACUCUUUCAAUAAGGUGACGGAACAGAAGCCCAGAAACUCAGAAGCCCAGCCCAUGGACUAUAAAAGUGACUACAAAAGAUACGAAUAAGUGGCAAGACCUUUGAUUCCCCAGGCGUAACCAAUCCUUUUUGCUACUGUCAUGUGGGUCACAGCAACAAAAUGGUCUACAAGUUCUUGCCUCUUCUCACCAAGCAGAUGAGCCCUUGGUGGGUGGGAAUGGGUCUCAUUCAUCUUCAUGCACCUAGCACAUAGCCAAGCAUAGAGUAGGCACUCAAUAAAUGUUGGUAGGACUAGUUUCACAUAAGUCCACCACAGGGUAAUAGGAAGAAAGUCUAAAAUUUGGCAUGUACGCCAUGAUUAAACCACCUCUUCUACCAACAUCUACUGUGAUCCUCCAAUGUCUUUUUCUAAACACUGGGGAUUCAAAGAGGAACAGCACACUGAUGAUGCUUGGUAGGUAGAUGUAGUUGAAAGAAUGGCCAAAAGAAUGACUUCAAGAUGAACAGUUUGGGGGAUAAUAUGAAGAAUUCUUCUUUGGUCUGUGGCUUCCACCAGUGUUUACAGAGCUGGUUGCAGUGUGUGGUUUUGCUUCACCAUCAUGGACUGAGCGACGCCUUUAUCCAGAACAUGCCACUGUUCCCUCACUGCUGACUCCUUGGUGCUGGCUUGUCGGCUUUCCCAGCAUCAUACAGCUUGGCCAUAUCAGAGGCUGUGUGCCAUGGUGACCCAGAGUACCUCCUCACCCCACGCUUCUCAGAGUAGCAUGAGAGUAAAAAUAUAAUGGGACAAGACCACUAGUCUAUACAGCCUGUGCUCAGCCUCUGAAAAUGGAAGCAAAAGCAGCCCCAUGGCAGAGUUGUUGGAAUACUGCCCUCUCUAAUUAGGGAGAUCCUUGGAGCAUUGUUAAUCUGGCUUAUUCUAUUAUGGACCUACUCCCUUAUCUGUUUCCCUGAUGCAAUGUGCAAUGUACUUUAUAGCUUCCUCAGCUGACAAGGUAAACAGCCUCUGUAUGUAAAAAGGCAGAGUAGGUUUACUUGCUUAAGACAUGAGCAAGAGUGCAAUUAUUUGAACCAGUUGGUUAGUGUUGCAGGGGAGGGGAGGUGGCAGGGUAAGAUCUUUUCAAAGUGAAGAACAGGUAAGUGCAAGGAAAGUAGCAUUCAUUCGAUCACCAUCAGACCAGGGGGCAUGGGAACCUGUCCAUCGGUAUUCAUACUAACCACGCACAAACACUGGAGAUGAACAAACAUUCAAAUUAACUCUCCAGGAAUGGAAGUACCAUGUCUGCCUUGGAGGUAGAUGUCAAACACUAGUAAUGCAAAGGGCUAACCCAGCUUGCAGAGAUGUUUUAUUUGUGCCACGGCAUUUAACAAACAAAGUUUAAAAAUCAGUUCUCAGCAUUUAAAUACUAGAGGAUUUCACUUUUUAAAAACUUUACAUUUCUGGGUUCUUGGGGAAAGCAGAAGAUGAGCAAUCCUGGGCCCAUAUUCUCAUUUUAAAACACUGGCUAUAGCCAAGUAAUCCCUGACAUCUUUGAGACAGGGCACAGACUCACUUUUCACUACAGUCCCUACAACUUUCUAUUGUCUCAUUGCUUCUGACCCUAUCACAUUCACUCAAUCACAUUUCUGCCCAAUGCCUACAGGCAUUAGGAGUUGAAGACCUCUAAUGUAGGAGAAGAUGAAAGGAGCUGCCAUGCUUAGCUGUAUUGUUACACCGUAUCCAUUUUGUGCUGAUUCUAUUAUCCAGGGAUUGCAUUGUGAUAAAGAGAUUUUAAAGCUGCUUCCUAUUUGGAACUUCAGCCUGCAGGUCCACAUGUUCACUGUCUUGGUUGUUUGCUCCUUUUGAAUUUGCCUUCUUUGAUGUUCAAGAGAUUCCUCCUAGACUCAGUAUUCUAAGACUUAGUGAACACAUCUACUUUUUCUUAACACAUUUUGUAGGUUUGGGCUCUGCCCCAAUUUCCAGCUGAGUCCUUUAUAAAAACAAAAACAAAGCAAAACUGUCUUGUAGGGACCCACUACUCCAUCCUCUUGCUACUUUAACUGCUUAUCUUCUGGCUACUUCCAAAUUCAUCACGUUUUCUGUAACAUGCAGCAAGACAAGCACCUAGGGAAGAAGUGUUUUCUAAAGGGCACAAGGAGUGGAGAAUCUCACUUGUACUAGCUUGAGGAAAACUUUCUAAAAUUCUAGGAUGGGAGCUAGGAAAUCCAGAUAUCUGUAUAUCCCUAGCCAAAUGCUUCAAUUUCCUACAGUGUUAACUAUAAGAUAUUUGUGACACAUGGGCUAUUGUCAGAUAGAUGUAACUCAGGAGUGUAUGAACAGUAGGGUGCACCUGACUCUUCAAGGAUAAAAUGAUGCUUUCUCUUUUGCUCUCUGAUACCACCAAGGGCUUAGCUGUCAUUUAUGAAUGCAGUUACAUGUCAGGUUAACACAUUUAAGAAAUAGUAUCAGUAUAGCCAAACACAUUCCACCAAGAAGAGCUAGGUUGUAACUGUCUUCAUUCUGCCAUUUGGUGGAUUGCAUUCCUAAUACCUCACUUAAUGGUAAAUGUUGUCUAUGGGUAGCACAGAUAAUGCCUCAGGAGGUCAUAUGAGACAAGAGGGAAAGAAUCAUAUUUCCAGGCGCGCUCUAAGUUGAGCAUUACAGGAUCUGAAUCCAUAUGCUACCUCGUCCUAAAAAACAAGGUAGUUGUAUUUAUAUUAUCUACUUCAUGAUCAGUCAGCAGGACAUCUGUCCGGUAAUAUCAUCCAAGAAGCAGAAUUUGCUUUUCUUUUAGGUCUUUGGUUUUAAAGAAGCAUUGGUUUCUAUAAAGAUGUGAAUUUGUUUCCUGUUCCUACAUGGCCCUCACCAUCCCACAGGUUAAACAAAAUGGUCCCCACCUUCCCACUUAUUUCUCAGGUUCUUUAAGAGAAUCUCAAGCAUCUCAGGUAACAGCAUUGAGAAGCUGCUGGACAAACCAAUAGGUUUUCAUGAAAUUUGUAAUACAGUUCAAAUUGAUUGGGAACAUAGAGACUUCUUCAAGCCUUCUUAUUAUCUAUAUGCUAGCAAUUAGAUUACUCUAACACACUACAAAAAUAGUUUCAUACACUGUCUUUAGAAGCUACUAUAGUAAAAAUAAGAAAGAAUCUUCUGUCAACAUUAGGCAUCAGGAUGGUAUCCCUUGUCUGGCAGAAGGCACACGAUGGCAGUCACGGGGUUAGUAAGUGGGAGAG